rnacentral:rRNA from 1 species
AUAGCGUAUACUAAAGUUGUUGCAGUUAAAAAGCUCGUAGUUGAAUUUCUGGUCUUGGAUUUCGGUCUGCCUCAAACGAGGUAUGUACCCGGGAUCUGAGACCAUCCUCGAGGAAAACAUAUCUGUCAUUAAGUUAAUGGGUAUGGGAUCCUCGUCAUUUACUGUGAGCAAAAUAGGGUGUUCAAAGCAGGCUUAUGCCGUUGAAUACAUUAGCAUGGAAUAAUAAGAUAGGACCUUGGUCUAUUUUGUUGGUUUGUACUCCAAGGUAAUGAUUAAUAGGGAUAGUUGGGGGUAUUUGUAUUCAAUUGUCAGAGGUGAAAUUCUUGGAUUUAUGGAAGACAAACUACUG